rnacentral:rRNA from 1 species
ACAGGUGCUGCAUGGCUGUCGUCAGCUCGUGUUGUGAAAUGUUGGGUUAAGUCCCGUAACGAGCACAACCCUUGUCCUUAGUUGCCAUCAUUUAGUUGGGGACUCUAAGGAGACUGCCGGUGACAAACCGGAGGAAGGCGGGGACGACGUCAAGUCAUCAUGGCCCUUACGAGUAGGGCUACACACGUGCUACAAUGGCAAGUACAGAGGGCCGCAAAGCCGCGAGGUGGAGCUAAUCUCACAAAGCUUGUCGUAGUCCGGAUUGGAGUCUGCAACUCGACUCCAUGAAGUCGGAAUCGCUAGUAAUCGUGAAUCAGAAUGUCACGGUGAAUACGUUCCCGGGCCUUGUACACACCGCCCGUCACACCAUGGGAGUGGGUUGCU